CACGGGGGGAGCAAGCGUUGUUCGGAAUCACUGGGCGUAAAGCGCACGUAGGCGGAUUGCUAAGUCAGGGGUGAAAUCCUGGAGCUCAACUCCAGAACUGCCUUUGAUACUGGCGAUCUUGAGUCCGGGAGAGGUGAGUGGAACUGCGAGUGUAGAGGUGAAAUUCGUAGAUAUUCGCAAGAACACCAGUGGCGAAGGCGGCUCACUGGCCCGGUACUGACGCUGAGGUGCGAAAGCGUGGGGAGCAAACAGG
rnacentral:rRNA from 1 species